rnacentral:lncRNA from 1 species
AGGUUUGUCUCCUGCACUAACAGCCUGCGUAGAAUGGAAGAGAGAGAAAGUGUAUGGGCCCAUGGAAGAUAACACAUCAUAUGAUUCUGUGUGGCUCCAUAUAUAAGCCUGCCUGGAAUCCACAUGCUGAGGAGUAAUGGCAAGAAUUCAUGGUAAACUGAAAUCUAUGGAUCUUCUUUAGGCAUGCAUCCUUGGACGAGUUACUUCAGGGAUACUAUUUCAUAGCUUCAGUUUCUUCCUCUGCAAAAUGGGGAUGGAUAUAUCUUAUAGGGUAGCUGUGAAGACCACAUAAAAUAUAUGUAAAGUUAUUUCACAUUUGACUUACUUCUAUUCUCCCAGUGUUUGCCUUGUAAGUCAUGCUGCAGUGAAUAUCUCUAUGCAAGACUUCCCUCUCCACAUCCGCAAGCGUUUUUGGAGUUUGCUGCAUUGUGCACUGGAUUUCCUUUCUUCAGGGAGUGCUGUAUUGCUGGACUCACUAGAUAUUUAGGAACAAUUCUAUAUCAAACAAUUAAAAAUAACAAUGAGGCUCUAGUUUUAAUGCACAAGGAGCUCACCGGAGAUGCUGGGAGCAUAUCAUAGCAAGCAGAGAGAAAUAUGUGGUAAAUGUCGGGAACAGUCAGAGACGUGGAACUGCCAUUGAGGACUGAACCAGCUGGACUUCAUGUGUUGGAUCCUGGGAAGAGUUUCUGGGGCACAGUUCUGUGUCCAUGAUGACAUGAUACAUUGUCCAGGUUGAGCAAUCCGUAAUGAAUGGAUUGGUAAUCCACUGUGGGCUAAAUUUGCAGUUUUCUGAUUACUGAAAGAGUUGAGCUUCUUGUAUUUUUGUUAACUUUUAUGCACAUUGUAUUUUAUAAUGCUAUAGCAAAUAUAUCUUCAGAACCAUAUUUUAUGUCUUGAUUAUAGAAUAAAACUGAUUACUCUCUUUUUUGUGUUUUUGGC